rnacentral:tRNA from 1 species
GCCGGCGUGGUGGAAUGGUAGACACUGGGGACUUAAAAUCCCCUCCUCGCAAGAGGGUAUGAGUUCGAGUCUCAUCGCCGGCA